UCCAAACUAUUGUAUCUCUAUGGUGUGUUGGUGUACAUCAUGGACGCCGACGCAUACGCUCAUGAUGUGCUCAUGUAUUGCUAAGAAAAGUUAAAAAUUACAUUGCUAAAUUGUAUCAUUCAAUCUCAAACGUGAUAAAAUAUAAGAUGUUAUAUUUUCUUGUUGCGGCGACAUAUAUUGUAUGAAUAUAAGGUGUCUUCGAAGACAAUGAAGCUGAGUCAUUAAUUCUAUGAUUUCCUAACUGGAAUGCAUCAAGUUUUACUAUAUGGCAUUCCCGAUGCCCCCCAAAGUUUACAAGUUUAGACCAGUGCCCUGCUUCUGUAAUUUUGAGUGCAAUACUGCUUACAAACCACCAUGAUGACAACAAAGUAAACGGAACUCCAAUUGUGAAAUCGUUCGUGGACAAUGACAAUGUGAAAUGCAAAGCUGCCUCUACUACUAAUUGAAUACACUAAGCUGAUUCACCUGCCCCCCCAUCCAUUAAACUACUAGACCUAUGCCACACGUGAAUGCACAUGGAGCUGUAUGGGAUCCGAAACUUUCCCGGAACAAUUCAUAUGUUUCAAACUUACUGAGUCCAUACAAGAAAGAAAAUGAUGGAACAGACCCAUGGAGCGUCCCGAGCAACCACUCAAAUAUUCUAGUUACUUACUGAACUGAGUUUAUGUAGUAACUCCUUCUAUUCUUCGCACGAUGGAUUAACUGGGUCGAUUUAUGUACUGCUUGGGGUUUUCUUUUGUGUGUUGCAUGCUUAUUCAAUAAAUUUGAUUUUUAUUGAG